GUGAAUAGUUUAUUUAUAGGUGCCCGCAAGGGAUAAUAGGGAACCAGGUAGUAAUCCUGGACGGACCCACCACUGUAAUUAGACGUUAAGAAUGUACAUUGGCCACUGGGAUAACUGGGAAGGCGUACAUUUUAGUCUAUAAGUCAGGAGACCUGCCUACUAAAUAUUGCAAUU
rnacentral:ncRNA from 2 species